rnacentral:rRNA from 1 species
UACGGGGGGGGUAAGCGUUGUUCGGAAUUACUGGGCGUAAAGGGCUCGUAGGCGGCCAACUAAGUCGGACGUGAAAUCCCUCAGCUUAACUGGGGAACUGCGUCCGAUACUGGAUGGCUUGGAUUUGGGAGAGGGAUGCGGAAUUCCAGGUGUAGCGGUGAAAUGCGUAGAUAUCUGGAGGAACACCGGUGGCGAAGGCGGCAUCCUGGACCAAUAUUGACGCCGAGGAGCGAAAGCCAGGGGAGCAAACGGG